CAUUCGUAUAUACGCUGAUAAAAAUUUUUAAUAUAAAAAUUACAGGUCAGGCGUAUGCUCAGAAAAUCGGGGAGUGGAGGAGAUCAAAACGAUGUUUAAGAACUCUAAGAACAGUGUGCGUAGUAAAGUCGACGAUUCCAGAUCAACUGGCCAUGGAAGGGUGGACUUCUCCAUUGAAGAAGAGAUCGUGGCCGGUAUUCUUCGCGAUUGAAAUCCACACCAACUGGACGGAAUACCGGGGGGUAUGGAAAGCACAUUCGAGAAGGAGAACAGGCCGCCAAAAGAGGGUCAACCGUCCUCUUCAACAGCCACCUGCAGCGUGCAGAAAUACUCCCCACCUGCAGCUGUCACCACGGAGCCAUGUUCCAGUGGCAUAUCGAACAGGAAUGU